rnacentral:misc_RNA from 1 species
GCCAAAUUACUCAUCUCUGAUGCACUCACCAAGUCCUUGUCAGCCUCUAUAAAUUCCCUCAGAGCCUCCCUCUCCAAUAUAUCCCACCAAAGUUAGAUUACUUUUACAUGCCAUGUCUUCCAUUGGAGCUGCUUGUGCUCAGGUGUACUUGAUGAAAAAGAGGCAGGAGGAAAAGAUGAAGAAAGCUGAAGAAGAAAGAAGUAACACAGGAGGGUUUAAAGAGAGGAAAGUUGGUGGUGGUUAUUCAUCAACUGGAGCGUGGAGCAACAAAAAGGUUCAUCCAGGCAACUAUUUUCCAGGAACUACCUCUGCAGCAAAACAAGGAGAGUAAUGUUUGGUGAAAAUGGAAGCUCUCUUCAUUCUCUUGUAAAAUUAAUGCUCAAUAUUGUGCUAUAUAUAUAGCGAUAUAGUGUGAACUUUGCUUAUAUUAUUGAAUCAAUUGUGGGUGAUUUGGGUUUUCAUUUCUAAGUUUAUAGAUUUGGUCUUCUCAUUUUCUUGGUGUAAUUUUCAAUGGUUUUGUGAGAUAAUUAAGGUGUUGGUAUGUACCCAAAAAAGAAG